GCAAGUGAGAGACAUUUGGCUGUCACAUCUGUCACCCAUCACUUGCCAGGCAGAUUCAGCUGAUGUGAUUAAGUGGUGUCUCCUUUUUUUUUCCCCUCACCACUCCAGGUGCCUCAGUUCCCAAGCUGAGCGAUCAGUUGAUAAGGACUUUUCCUCUUGGAGGAGAAUGGUCACAGAUGAGGGCAAAUGGCCAGCUGAACUCUCCUGUUACAAUCCCCUCGCCUCCCAGCAUGCUCUUCUGAGAUGCUCUCAUGUUUACUGUACACCCAUUCCCAUUUCCAUCCUUUAUUAACGUUCUUAAUUGUCUUAGUUUCUGAAA
rnacentral:snRNA from 1 species